CUUGAUGAAGAGCAAGCUGUGUUUUGGGCUUGUUUCAUUUGUUCAUGUUUC
rnacentral:miRNA from 1 species